AACGAACGCUGGCGGCAUGCCUAACACAUGCAAGUCGAACGAGACCUUCGGGUCUAGUGGCGCACGGGUGCGUAACGCGUGGGAAUCUGCCCUUCGGUUGGGAAUAACUGAGAGAAAUUUCAGCUAAUACCUUAUAAUGUCUUCGGACCAAAGAUUUAUCGCCGAGGGAUGAGCCCGCGUAGGAUUAGGUAGUUGGUGGGGUAAUGGCCUACCAAGCCGACGAUCCUUAGCUGGUCUGAGAGGAUGAUCAGCCACACUGGGACUGAGACACGGCCCAGACUCCUACGGGAGGCAGCAGUGGGGAAUAUUGGACAAUGGGCGAAAGCCUGAUCCAGCAAUGCCGCGUGAGUGAUGAAGGCCUUAGGGUUGUAAAGCUCUUUUACCCGGGAUGAUAAUGACAGUACCGGGAGAAUAAGCUCCGGCUAACUCCGUGCCAGCCGCCGCCGUAA
rnacentral:rRNA from 1 species